UACGAAGGGGGCUAGCGUUGUUCGGAUUUACUGGGCGUAAAGCGCACGUAGGCGGGUCGUUAAGUCAGGGGUGAAAUCCCGAGGCUCAACCUCGGAACUGCCUUUGAUACUGCAAAUCUCGAGUCCGGAAGAGGUGAGUGGAAUUCCUAGUGUAGAGGUGAAAUUCGUAGAUAUUAGGAAGAACACCAGUGGCGAAGGCGGCUCACUGGUCCGGUACUGACGCUGAGGUGCGAAAGCGUGGGGAGCAAACAGG
rnacentral:rRNA from 1 species